GAAACUUUCCAUGAAUUUUCUUUCCAGAGGCCUCCAGGAAGGGCUAGAGGAACCACUAGACAUUUAUGAUGAAAGUGGGCAGAUGGAGGAAAGUGUCUGUAUAUUUUGCCCCAGUUUUGCUCACCUUUCUAGAGCUGUAAUUAAUUUUUUCUUUCUUUUCUUUGUUUUUUUUUUCUCUCCCAAAAGUUUGGCUUCUCCCAAGCAAAAUGAAGGAUAUGGAAACUUUGAUGUUGGAUAUGCACAUGUUGGUUAUUUAAUAAUGAUGCUUCUGGUGUUUAUCAUUAUUAGAAAUAUUAAUCACUACAAUGUCCUACUGGCUCUACUUCAGAUUCUCACCGAGGUGAUGGGCGUGGGGUGAUAGCAUGGUAUUUCCUUUAGUAAUAUGUUAGAUUCUCCCAGUGCUCAGGUAAUUUAAACUUAGAAGCAACUGUGACAUUGCGGUUACUGACCAAUUAAAAGAAGCACUGAUCAGUUUAACACAACAGUGAAUGAGGCUGAAUAGCAGCCCUUUAUUAAAAGUCAAAUCUCCACUGAGGUGAACCAAAUUAGACAUUUACCUCCUUUUCUUUUUUUCCCCAUACUCUUAAUUUUAGAACGUUUGUAAUUCUACAACCAUCAUCAUAACCCAAUUUUAUAGCAUUUCCAUCCCAAACCCCCAGCCCAUCCCCCCACCCCUAGCCUGUCUCCUUUGGAAACUGUAAGUUUUUCAAAGUCUGUGGGUCAGUAUCUGUUCUGCAAAGAAGUUCAUUGGGUCCUUUUUUUAGAUUUCACAUGUAAGCAAUAGCAUAUGAUGUUGGUGUCUCACUGUCUGAUUAACUUCACGUAGCGUGAUCAUUUCUAGGUCCAUCCGUGUUGCUUCAGAUGCUGUUAUUUCUUUCCUUUUAAUGGCUGAGUAAUAUUCCAUUGUGUAUAUGUACCAUAUCUUCUUGAUCCACUCCUCUGUCGAUGGGCAUUUAGGUGGUUUCCAUGUCUUGGCUGUUGUAUACAGUGCUGCAGUGAACACUGGAGUACAUAUAUCUUUCCGAGUCGUGGUUCCUCUGGAUAGAUGCCCAGGAGUGGGAUUGCUGGAAUAGACAU
rnacentral:lncRNA from 1 species